rnacentral:rRNA from 1 species
CGGGGGGGGCAAGCGUUGUUCGGAAUUACUGGGCGUAAAGGGCUCGUAGGCGGCCAACUAAGUCGGAUGUGAAAUCCCCAGGCUCAACCUGGGAACUGCAUCCGAUACUGGAUGGCUUGAAUUCGGGAGAGGGAUGCAGAAUUCCAGGUGUAGCGGUGAAAUGCGUAGAUAUCUGGAGGAAUACCGGUGGCGAAGGCGGCAUCCUGGACUGACAUUGACGCUGAGGAGCGAAAGCUAGGGGAGCAAACGGGAUUAGAUACCCCGGUAGUCCUAGCCCUAAACGAUGAAUGCUUGGUGUGACGGGUAUCGAUCCCUGUCGUGCCGAAGCUAACGCAUUAAGCAUUCCGCCUGGGGAGUACGGUCGCAAGGCUG